GAGAUGGUGCCAAAGAUUGGACCAAUCUGGAUCCCAGACCUCUAUUAGAUUUAACUGAGUCUGAAGGUUAUUCAGAAUCACCUCUACAAAUCACAGAAACAUGCACUGGCUUCAAGGGAGACCUGUGUCCUACAGGUGAAUGUUCUGCAGGCUACUACUGUGACUGGGGCUCCAGCAGUCUGGAGCAGAGUCUCUGUCCUUCCGGUUUCUAUUGCCCAGCAGGCCCACACAAGCCCCUGGCCUGCACUGCAAGCACUUACAGCUCCGUCAUGGGCAAAAGUCACCAAGGAAAUUGUUAGCCAUGCCCAUUAUGCUUCUACCGUCAGGUAGCAGAGCCUCUUCCAUGUCUGCCGGGGCAUUUCUGCCCCACGGGCACAUCACAGGGCACUCAGUUCCCCUGUCCUCCAGGAACAGUGCAGGCACAGUCUGGGACAGCCAGUAUAGAUGAAUGUCUACCAUGUCCUGCAGGUGACAACAUGACAACAAAAAGAUUUAUUGCAUGUAUAGACUACCAUUCAAAGUUUGUGGGUCAAUAAUAUUUUCUGUCUAAAAUUCUCUGUAUGUGGAGAAAAAAACAUCUAAUUCAUGUAAUCUGUUUGUCUAGGCAUGUUUUGUGCUCGCCAUGGUCUUUCAGAGCCUACAGGGUGCUGCCAGGAUGGAUUUCACUGCCCUUUAGGGGCUACAAGCCCAAAUGGCACUUGAAAUCUGGUAUAUAUUCUUCUGUCUCUUAAUAAAGACACUGUGUGUUCAGAAAGGGUUAAACUAAUUUACAAUGUGUGAUUUGCAGAUUGAAUCUACAGGCAACAACUUGCACCCGCCUGGCCAUUAUUGUCCAACUGGUAUUGGCUUUCCUCUCCCAUGCCCUGCUGGAACAUUCUCCAGCUCCCCAUGGUUGAGUGGGACAGAGCAGUGCCAGCCAUGUCCUCCUGGGUACUUCUGUGUGCAGACUGCUAUGGUCCAUCCAUCAGAAGCAGCUCUCUGUGAUGCUGGGUCAUUUUUGCCCUUUUGGCACUGCUGCAGCUGUACCGUGUCCUGUGGGCACACUGGGACAGGUUACCAGGGCUCAGUCGGAGGCUGCCUGAGUGCCCUGUCCUACCGGCCUCUACUGCAACCUGGAACAUCACAACCACAGGGGGGUUACUCCAUAGAAAGCUGUCUUCCAUGCCCAGCAGGGCAUCAUUGUGCCAGCGAGGCCCUGGAUGCUCCAACUGGACACUGUGCUGCAGGCUUUUACUGCCCCAUAGACUUCUCCUCCACCACCCCGCAUGCCUUCCACUGCCCCAAAGUUGGUUCGGCCUCCUUCAUACCCUUCUAUCUCAUUUUAAUCUGAGCUCAGCUGCCUGACUUACAGGUUUUGCUCUUUCAGGGUCAUUACUGUCCCUUAGGCUCACCCCUGGCCUUGCCCUGCCCCACGGGACAGUACCAGCCAAAUCCGGGCUCGGAUAACUGCAUCCCCUGCCGUCCAGGCUAUUACUGUGAGGAGGCAAUUAUCGGAGACCCCCGGCCUUGCCCCCCACACUCCUACUGCCCUGCAGGUAACCCUGCUGCUGUAACUCUCUGUAUUAUAUCUGUAGUAUCAUUAGUACUUGCACAUUAUCUGAUUUUGCUUGUAAUUGCAGCCACAAUGAUUCCUCAGCCCUGUCACAAUGGCACAUAUACCCCACCUGAGGUCGGGGGUCUGCUAGAGGAGAGAGAGUGUUUGCCGUGUCCACCAGGAAAGUUCUGCAAGUAUGUUCACAGAUCACAUGAGGGUGCUUCUUCAACCAUGGGCACUUAUGACCUUGUGGACCUUUAGAAAAUAAACUUAAAACAAACUUUGCA
ensembl:lncRNA